CGUGCACGUCAGCCACGGAGAGCCAGGAGUUGACAGAAUCCCCGACAGCAGCUGCUCUCUGAGUCAAACACAGUGGAAACACCCAGGGGAGCCUCAUAAACCAUGGACAAUUUGUGGUGUUGGCUGCUGCUCCACCGGAGCAAUGAGGACCACCAGCUGGUGGUUGAUGCUCAGGUAUCCGAAGACGUCGCACUGUGGCACGGAGACAUGAAGCCGCAGGACCU